UACGGGGGGGAGCAAGCGUUGUUCGGAUUUACUGGGCGUAAAGGGCGCGUAGGCGGCCAACUAAGUCGAACGUGAAAUCCCCGGGCUUAACCCGGGAACUGCGUCCGAUACUGGAAGGCUUGAAUCCGGGAGAGGGAUGCGGAAUUCCAGGUGUAGCGGUGAAAUGCGUAGAUAUCUGGAGGAACACCGGUGGCGAAGGCGGCAUCCUGGACCGGCAUUGACGCUGAGGCGCGAAAGCCAGGGGAGCAAAGCGGG
rnacentral:rRNA from 1 species